UCAUUUUCUAAAAAGAAACCCUUAUAUUUAUUGAGUGAGUGACAUGUAUACAUAGUUCAUAUCUCUGAAAGAAAUAUGAAAAAAAAACUUAGAUUAACUAUCUAGAUUCAGGUCAAAAGAAUUCCUUUUGCCUUAAAUUAUCAGGGUAAUUGGAGCAUUUUAGCUCUUUCUUUUAAAAGUGCAUAAAAUUUAUAGUAGGUUCUCAUAAUAGUUUACAAUUCAUGACCUAGAUAAAUUUUGAAGUUUUUAGACAAAUGGUAUUUGCAAUGACUUGGUCCAAACGCAGGAAAAGGCAAACGUCCAAAUGUUCUCACUGCUUUGACUGUCGUGCUUUAGGCU
rnacentral:lncRNA from 1 species